UACGAAGGGGGCUAGCGUUGUUCGGAAUUACUGGGCGUAAAGCGCACGUAGGCGGACAUUUAAGUCAGGGGUGAAAUCCCGGGGCUCAACCCCGGAACUGCCUUUGAUACUGGGUGUCUUGAGUGUGGUAGAGGUGAGUGGAAUUGCGAGUGUAGAGGUGAAAUUCGUAGAUAUUCGCAGGAACACCAGUGGCGAAGGCGGCUCACUGGACCACAACUGACGCUGAGGUGCGAAAGCGUGGGGAGCAAACAGG
rnacentral:rRNA from 3 species